UGUAAUUGGAAUGAUGGGAAUUUAAACCUCUUCCAGAGUAUCAAUUGGAGGGCAAGUCUGGUGCCAGCAGCCGCGGUAAUUCCAGCUCCAAUAGCGUAUAUUAAAAUUGUUGCAGUUAAAAAGCUCGUAGUUGAAUUUCUGCUGCAUCGUCGCAUCUCUUGCUGAGUGCUUCAUUGCGGCUUAUUUCGGAUUGAUUUUUUCUUUCCGGAUGAUUACUUUGAGAAAAUUAGAGUGCUCAAAGCAGGCUUUUGCCUUGAAUAGUUUAGCAUGGAAUAAUAAAGUAGGACUUUGGUUCUAUUUUGUUGGUUUUAGGUACCAAAGUAAUGGUUAAUAGGAACAGUUGGGGGCAUUCGUAUUUAACUGUCAGAGGUGAAAUUCUUAGAUUUGUUAAAGACGAACUACUGCGAAAGCAUUUGCCAAGGAUGUUUUCAUUAAUCAAGAACGAAAGUUAGGGGAUCGAAGACGAUCAGAUACCGUCGUAGUCCUAACCAUAAACUAUGCCGACUAGAGAUUGGAGGUCGUCAGUUUUUACGACUCCUUCAGCAC
rnacentral:rRNA from 8 species